CUUACCGAUAUAGAGAAAUAUAGAUAAUCAAAACUAAAUCAUGCAGAGAUGAAAAAUCAUAAUCCAUGUAUUCUGUUUUUAUUUUAAACUUUGGUUUUUUUGUUUGCUUAGAUAAUCAAAACUAAAUCAUGCAGAGAUGAAAAAUCAUAAUCCAUGUAUUAUGUUUCUCUUUUAAUCUUUGAUUUUUUUGUUUGCUGUGAAGACCCUAAUAUUUUUUUUUGUCUCCCUGUCUAUCUAAUUCGUAUGAUUUUAAUUUCUGCUUAGUAUUUGUGUUAUAAUGAUUCCUUCUGCUUCCUUAUUAAAAUUGUUUAGGUUUUUUGAAAUUUCAAAGUGAGCAGCGAUGAAUUGGAGAUCGAUAAUAUCUUACGUUUUGUAGUUCCAUUGGACAAAUACUUUUGUGGGUUCUUAAAUUUUCAUUUGAUAUGUGCAGUACAAUUGCUAAUUACUAAAGUGGAUGCAUUGUUCUUUCUAAUAUUCAGUGUGAAGAUUCAGAACAACGGCGUAAUGGAUUUACAUAAGCAACCAUCUACUAAUCAUUAUCCACUUAAUGUGAAAAAAGAUGGUGAUGGUCAAGAUAUCAUUUAGAAACGGCAAUGUUAUUCAACUCCCUGUAAUCCACCUUCUUAUUUACCUCCUUACAAUCUAAACCCCAUAUUAAGGGAAUGGUGAACCCCACCUAAACCUGAAUGUGAAUCUCGAUAGAGAUGUAAGGCUUAGAUUAGAGGGAGGUGGAGAAUAGGAAGGCGAAUAGCAUUUCGGAUUCAGAAACAUAGAUACCAGAAGGGGCAUGUGGUUGCAAUGAAUGUAAUCGGUCACCUGCGCAAUGUGGUGGCAUGAUGAGCAGGUUAAAAAUUCAUUUCCUUAGAGUACAUUUGGUUCGAAAAUUUUGUGUGGAAGCAGUAAGUUCUCUAGAAUUAUAAUAUUUUUUGUUGUUGUUAUGUUAUUUGAAGUAAUUAGAACCUAUUUAUAUAAGCCAGGGCUCUGUGAGAUACUUUUUCUGCUUCACAUAAGUCAUUAGCAUGUAUAUGGGUGAAGCUCCUCAUGGGUACAGAGAAAGAUUCUUGGUGUUGUCAUCGUGGGGAUAAAAAUUGAAUAUUUAAUUAAGAAUAAGGGCUUUUCUGAUCCGAAUUAUGAACUUAUGGUAAAUUAAAGGUGUUAGGGCUUAUAGUAUAGGGGUGUGAUUUGCUGCUGCAUUGUGAGAUGUUUCAGAAAGGCAGAUUAAAGUUGGUAUCAAGGCUUCAUAAGGACUUUUCUGGCUCAAAUCUAAGAAGGCAAACGACGUGCACGACCUACAGUGGAACGGUUCUUACAUCAAUCAUGACAAUGGUAGAGAGGCUGGGGGCUACUUUGCUUUGCUUAUAUUUAUGCUUAUAAAUGGUAUAGCUAAGUUGGCAAUAGUAAUAAGGAAUUACCAACUUUCACUUUUGUUGGAGGAAUUGCUUUUGGUUUCCCAAUUGAUUGUUUAAACAAUUCAACAAGUGCAAGUUUCAUGUGUUGGAUUUUUCUUUGUGGUUCUA